rnacentral:rRNA from 1 species
UGGGGAAUUUUGGACAAUGGGCGCAAGCCUGAUCCAGCCAUGCCGCGUGCGGGAAGAAGGCCUUCGGGUUGUAAACCGCUUUUGUCAGGGAAGAAAUCUUCUGAGUUAAUACCUCGGGAGGAUGACGGUACCUGAAGAAUAAGCACCGGCUAACUACGUGCCAGCAGCCGCGGUAAUACGUAGGGUGCAAGCGUUAAUCGGAAUUACUGGGCGUAAAGCGUGCGCAGGCGGUUUUGUAAGACAGAGGUGAAAUCCCCGGGCUCAACCUGGGAACUGCCUUUGUGACUGCAAGGCUUGAGUGCGGCAGAGGGGGAUGGAAUUCCGCGUGUAGCAGUGAAAUGCGUAGAUAUGCGGAGGAACACCGAUGGCGAAGGCAAUCCCCUGGGCCUGCACUGACGCUCAUGCACGAAAAGCGUGGGGAGCAAAACAGGAUUAGAUAGCCCCUGGUAGUCCACGCCCUAAAACGAUGUCAACUGGUUGUUGGGAAGGUUCCUUCUCAGUAACGUAGCUAACGCGUGAAGUUGACCGCCUGGGGAGUACGGCCGCAAGGUUG